GUCGAGCGGUAGCACAGGAGAGCUUGCUCUCUGGGUGACGAGCGGCGGACGGGUGAGUAAUGUCUGGGAAACUGCCUGAUGGAGGGGGAUAACUACUGGAAACGGUAGCUAAUACCGCAUANNNUCUACGGACCAAAGUGGGGGACCUUCGGGCCUCAUGCCAUCAGAUGUGCCCAGAUGGGAUUAGCUAGUAGGUGGGGUAAUGGCUCACCUAGGCGACGAUCCCUAGCUGGUCUGAGAGGAUGACCAGCCACACUGGAACUGAGACACGGUCCAGACUCCUACGGGAGGCAGCAGUGGGGAAUAUUGCACAAUGGGCGCAAGCCUGAUGCAGCCAUGCCGCGUGUGUGAAGAAGGCCUUCGGGUUGUAAAGCACUUUCAGCGAGGAGGAAGGGANNNGUGUUAAUAGCACUNUGCAUUGACGUUACUCGCAGAAGAAGCACCGGCUAACUCCGUGCCAGCAGCCGCGGUAAUACGGAGGGUGCAAGCGUUAAUCGGAAUUACUGGGCGUAAAGCGCACGCAGGCGGUUUGUUAAGUCAGAUGUGAAAUCCCCGCGCUUAACGUGGGAACUGCAUUUGAAACUGGCAAGCUAGAGUCUUGUAGAGGGGGGUAGAAUUCCAGGUGUAGCGGUGAAAUGCGUAGAGAUCUGGAGGA
rnacentral:rRNA from 1 species